rnacentral:rRNA from 1 species
GACGAACGCUGGCGGCGUGCCUAAUACAUGCAAGUAGAACGCUGAAGAGAGGAGCUUACUCUUCUUGGAUGAGUUGCGAACGGGUGGGUAACGCGUAGGUAACCUGCCUUGUAGCGGGGGAUAACUAUUGGAAACGAUAGCUAAUACCGCAUAACAAUGGAUGACACAUGUCAUUUAUUUGAAAGGGGCAAUUGCUCCACUACAAGAUGGACCUGCGUUGUAUUAGCUAGUAGGUGAGGUAAUGGCUCACCUAGGCGACGAUACAUAGCCGACCUGAGAGGGUGAUCGGCCACACUGGGACUGAGACACGGCCCAGACUCCUACGGGAGGCAGCAGUAGGGAAUCUUCGGCAAUGGGGGCAACCCUGACCGAGCAACGCCGCGUGAGUGAAGAAGGUUUUCGGAUCGUAAAGCUCUGUUGUAAGUCAAGAACGGGUGUGAGAGUGGAAAGUUCACACUGUGACGGUAGCUUACCAGAAAGAGACGGCUAACUACGUG